AUGGGUCCCCUGGAAGAAGGGGAUGUGCCCACUUCCAAAGGGGCUGCAGCACGAGGGGAGCUGGAGGAGGAAAAAUCCAGCUUUACUCCAAACCCGCCUGCGUGGCACCUGGGGCAGUGGCACGCCGCCAGCACCGGGUUCCUCUGGGUGCGCGGAGGCGAAGCUGAGCAGGAGUGGAAGGAAAAGCUCUGGCUAAGGAGCGCGCUGCCUGUCCGCCCGGCAAUUCCAUCAGUAGCUGGCAAAGGAAGGAGCCUGCUAAAGGAACAAACACGGCUCAGGUGUAACAUGCAGCGAGGAGAAACCCUGGUGGAGGUGGGUGGCAUCCAUGGGGCAGAGCACCGUCUGCUUGGGCUUGGCCCCCGGGGGACGAGGGGUGGCUCUGGUGGGAGCCGAAAUGGCCCCGGGGUGGCCCCAGGCUCCCCGAUGGGGCCGGAGGAUCCAAACGCUGCUCUGGGCGCCCCUGCGCACCCUGUCCCCGUGCCACCCGCAGCAGGACCCGGACCCGCGAUGCUCCACCAGCCCUGGGGAGCCGUGCUCGGCCCUGCCUGGACACUUCCCCGCUGCGGGGCUGGAAGGGGAGGGCGUUUCUGGAGCAUUAAAGAUCAACUGUUUGCGAGUCCGGCCAAUCCCCGUCGUCGUGAGCAGCACCAAAGGAGGCCAGCGGGAUGCGGCUGGUCAAAUGCUUUGCGCAUGAACAUCAUCUCUCACCCCCUCGAGUAUUUGCAGACCUGGGAGCGUUUCCUGCUGCUCCCCGGUGCCGCCGCCCGCACGGGAUCCCCGCACCCUUCGGGGCAGGGCACAAGCCCCCAGCAGCGCGGCGCGCUCGGCCGUGCAAACGGGAAUGGAUUCGCCCGGCCAGCAGUCAAAGAGCGGCGCGAGAUAAUGAGAAAGCGCAGGCGGGGGUGGUGGUGGUGGGGAGCUGGGUGGGAAGGGGGACUUUUAUUCUCCAGGGUUUGUUGGUUGUUGGUUUUUUUUUUUGCAGUCUCCAUUCACCAUAUUUAG
rnacentral:lncRNA from 1 species